AACGAACGCUGGCGGCAUGCCUAACACAUGCAAGUCGAACGAGACCUUCGGGUCUAGUGGCGCACGGGUGCGUAACGCGUGGGAACCUGCCCUUAGGUUCGGAAUAACUCCCCGAAAGGGGUGCUAAUACCGGAUAAUGUCUUCGGACCAAAGAUUUAUCGCCUUUGGAUGGGCCCGCGUUGGAUUAGCUAGUUGGUAGGGUAAAAGCCUACCAAGGCGACGAUCCAUAGCUGGUCUGAGAGGAUGAUCAGCCACACUGGGACUGAGACACGGCCCAGACUCCUACGGGAGGCAGCAGUGGGGAAUAUUGGACAAUGGGCGAAAGCCUGAUCCAGCAAUGCCGCGUGAGUGAUGAAGGCCUUAGGGUUGUUAAGCUCUUUUACCCGGGAUGAUAAUGACAGUACCGGGAGAAUAAGCGCCGGCUAACUCCGUG
rnacentral:rRNA from 1 species